UACGUAGGGUGCAAGCGUUGUCCGGAAUUAUUGGGCGUAAAGAGCUCGUAGGCGGUCUGUCGCGUCGGCUGUGAAAACUCGGGGCUCAACUCCGAGCUUGCAGUCGAUACGGGCAGGCUAGAGUUCGGCAGGGGAGACUGGAAUUCCUGGUGUAGCGGUGAAAUGCGCAGAUAUCAGGAGGAACACCGGUGGCGAAGGCGGGUCUCUGGGCCGAUACUGACGCUGAGGAGCGAAAGCGUGGGGAGCGAGCAGG
rnacentral:rRNA from 1 species